rnacentral:rRNA from 1 species
GAUGAACGCUGGCGGCGUGCCUAAUACAUGCAAGUCGAGCGAACAGAUGAGGAGCUUGCUCCUCUGACGUUAGCGGCGGACGGGUGAGUAACACGUGGAUAACCUACCUAUAAGACUGGGAUAACUUCGGGAAACCGGAGCUAAUACCGGAUAAUAUAUUGAACCGCAUGGUUCAAUAGUGAAAGACGGUUUUGCUGUCACUUAUAGAUGGAUCCGCGCCGCAUUAGCUAGUUGGUAAGUUAACGGCUUACCAAGGCAACGAUGCGUAGCCGACCUGAGAGGGUGAUCGGCCACACUGGAACUGAGACACGGUCCAGACUCCUACGGGAGGCAGCAGUAGGGAAUCUUCCGCAAUGGGCGAAAGCCUGACGGAGCAACGCCGCGUGAGUGAUGAAGGUCUUCGGAUCGUAAAACUCUGUUAUUAGGGAAGAACAAAUGUGUAAGUAACUAUGCACGUCUUGACGGUACCUAAUCAGAAAGCCACGGCUAACUACGUG